GGUUGAUCCUGCCAGGAUUAUAUACUUGUUUAAAAGAUUAAGCCAUGCAUGUCUAAGUAUAAACAUCUUUAUACAGUGAAACUGCGUACAGCUCAUUAUAUCAGUAAUUAUUUAUUUGAAGGUCAUAUUCUACAAGGAUAACUGUAGAAAUUCUAGAGCUAAUACUUGCGACAAAUUCCGACUCUCGGGAAGGAAUGUAUUUAUUAGAUAAAAAAUCAAUGCAGGUUUUACCUGGUCCAUUGGUGAUUCAUAGUAACUGUUCGAAGCGUAUGGCCUUGUGCCGACGCUAAGU
rnacentral:rRNA from 1 species